UAAUUAUCGGGGACAGCGUUUCCCAUAAUUU
rfam:Monodelphis domestica cont3.033679, whole genome shotgun sequence.